GAUGAACGCUGGCGGCGUGCCUAAUACAUGCAAGUCGAGCGAACAGAUGAGGAGCUUGCUCCUCUGACGUUAGCGGCGGACGGGUGAGUAACACGUGGAUAACCUACCUAUAAGACUGGGAUAACUUCGGGAAACCGGAGCUAAUACCGGAUAAUAUAUUGAACCGCAUGGUUCAAUAGUGAAAGACGGUUUUGCUGUCACUUAUAGAUGGAUCCGCGCCGCAUUAGCUAGUUGGGAAGGUAACGGCUUACCAAGGCAACGAUGCGUAGCCGACCUGAGAGGGGGUUCGGCCACACUGGAACUGAGACACGGUCCAGACUCCUACGGGAGGCAGCAGUAGGGAAUUUUCCGAAAUGGGCGAAAGCCUGAAGGAGCAACGCCGCGUGAGUGAUGAAGGUCCUCGGAUCGUAAAACUCUGUUAUUAGGGAAGAACAAAUGUGUAAGUAACUAUGCACGUCUUGACGGUACCUAAUCAGAAAGCCACGGCUAACUACGU
rnacentral:rRNA from 1 species